UUAGGGUUUUUUUAUUAUUAUGUACAUUAAUGGUCAAAGAAUACAUAAACAAGCAGAGUAUAUACAAACAAAAUAUAUCACACAAUAUGGUCUAAAUGGACAAAGUGAAAAUUACAUUAACAUAAACUAUUAGAAUGAUAUGAACAAUGGAAAAUGAAAGAAAAUGCUAGAAGUAAAUUUCAUUAAUGUAAAAUCUUGAAAUUACAAGUUAGUAGUUAGUAGGUUAAGAGUUAGUGUUGUUUUUC
rnacentral:lncRNA from 1 species